UACGUAGGCAGCAAGCGUUGUUCGGAGUUACUGGGCGUAAAGGGUGCGUAGGCGGCUUUUUAAGUUUGGUGUGAAAUCUCCCGGCUCAACUGGGAGGGUGCGCCGAAUACUGAGAGGCUAAAGUGUGGGAGAGGAAAGUGGAAUUCCUGGUGUAGCGGUGAAAUGCGUAGAUAUCAGGAGGAACACCGGUGGUGUAGACGGCUCACUGGACCGUAACUGACGCUGAGACACGAAAGCGUGGGUAGCAAACAGG
rnacentral:rRNA from 1 species